AAAAGAACUGACUUUGCAGAUUUAGCUCUGCUGCCAGAUAUUGUACUUGGUGGUGCUUUGAAUUCAGAAGGAAAAAUUGACUUACACACCACAUUGACUCUAUUGGCAUUUUCUCCCCAGAAGGCAGUGGAUUGUUUUUCAGAGCUCCAAAGGACAUGUGUGCGAUCGCGUUACCUGCCUUCACUGACUUCAUGUGUGGAGAGGGAGUGGAGAGGGCCAAUACUACCUUAACACAGAUGUAAUUAUGUGGUAGAUCCAGAACAAUAUUCACAUAUGUUCAGUGGAGGAAUGAGACUGAGAGGAAAGCAAGA
rnacentral:lncRNA from 1 species